UUUCCACCUUGAAUCUGCACUGCUUGUUUCCCAAUGAUGUGUUUUCACACUGAUUUCCUGAAGUUCUGGGGUUUUUUUUGGUCUCAUUUCUGCUAUUUCUGCGUACAGCCCCCUCUUGGUCUGGUCCUGGUCCAAACCCUGUCAGUGAUAAGGGGAAAUUCCCCAUCAGACAGAGGAAACCAUCCCAGCAUUCCAGGCAGACUUUCCAAAGUAUUUUUAAUGAAGGGCACACGCCCUCUGAGCCCGAUGAGUGUCCUGUUUACCUUUCCUCAUGGGCUCUGCAGGCUGCAGGAGGUGGGAGAUGUCCUGGCAUCAGCUGGCCUGAGAAAAAGGGGAAUUACUCUGGAAAUGUUUGAAGGAGGACCCUGUCCUGGCACUUUGCUGAGUCAAGAGGAUGCCAGCAGCACAGGUGAGGCUUCCUGGGAUGAGGGCAGCAAAAGAAGGUAAAAAACAUGAGACUUGGCAGUGUGUGGUGGGGAAGGCUCUACUGUAAUGAGCUAUGGCUCUUCUUUCUCUCUUCUCCCUCUGUAUAUGUUGGGUUUACUCUGUAUCAUAAGAGUAUGUGAAUAGUAGUGUUCUGUGAAUAGCAGUAGUCCAGUAAGUGGAAAGGGACUCCAUGCUGCAGAGGAAAAUGUUGGCAUGGGGAACCCGUCAGAGAUAUCUUGUGCUCCUCCAGGCUGGAGGAGGCAGGGAAACGCUGUGGUCUUGUUGCCUGGGGGGCAAAGUCCUCUGCAGGAACAGGAAAACAGCUGGAAGCGCAGCCCUUUCAAAUCCUCUUGUGCUGAUGACCUGUGAGGAGGAUGCCAGUUUCUUCUUUCAGGCAUAUAAUACUCCCUUUCCCAAACCUCUGUCUCUGGACCAUAGCACAGCAGAGCAGGGGACACCACCACCCUGCACCCAGCACAAAAACCCAGCUGCUUUGUCCAUCUGGAUGGCACCAUCUGCAGUGCAGGGAACCUGCUGCCUGUACCCAUCCCAGAUGCUUAUUCAAUGGGUUGCGUUCACACCAGGCUGUAACCUUCCCCCUCUUUCUCCCAGAUAUCACAAACUGUUAAAACCUCUGGAGUUUCUACUUAUCCCCAGCUUUGUAUUGCACCCUUGGUGUCUCCUCUGAGAGUUUUCCUGGCUGACAGGACAAGUCAAUAGCUAGACUGGUUUAUGUGCCUGUCCUUGUGUCUUCCCCCACCUCUUGGAGGGGGCAGCAGCAUUCAAGACAGGGUAUUGAAUCCUAACUGAAGACUGUGCCUCCCAGGUUCAGGCACUGAGCGACAGUCCUUUCACAUGCCACAGCUCUUUGCACUGCGGUAUCUGCAUCUGCCCAUGCCUGGGCUCUCUGCCAGCCCUGAAGGCCAUUGCUCUUCUGCUGGGUGGGAUCAAGAUCUCAUGCUAAACAUAGCAGGGACAGAGGCAGGCGUAGAGGGUCAGGUAUGGGUUCGUCUGAAAGGCAUUUGAUUUUGCAGCAUCCCAGGGGUAAGUCAGCAUUAGUGCUGACCAUGUGGUCCAUUGCUGUCCUGAAAAAUCACAGAGAGCCUUUGACAGGCAGUGGGGGUGAUGGAGGCUGGAGAAGAGUUGCUGUUUUUUAAUGGGAUUCUGUUUUCUGGCUCUGAGCUUGCCUGCACAGCCCUACUCUCCUCUCUGGAGGGCAGGAACAGAGCAGCAGGUGCUUGGGACUCAGCCGGAGUGCUGCAUACACCAGGACCUGCUGGGACCAUGCACAUGGUGGCCAGAAACAGCAGACACUUUCCCCUUCUCUUUCAGCAGGGAUGUUAAUCUGAACUUGUGCUCCCUGCCAACAGCCAGUGCCAACAACCUCUGCGGGAAAGUGAGCAAGGAACCCGCUUUCUGCUGCUUGGAUGGACUAAAUGACAUCUGCACUGUGGUCUGUGGAAGCAGAGGGGUUCUGUCUUAGUCUUAAUUCCUCGUGGCAUCUUCCUCUCCCACCGCUUCUGCCUCAUUUGUGCCCAGACUGAGUCUGAGUCGGUGCUGUCCAUCUGAGAGCAAAUCUCCUGGUGGGACUGGAAAAGUAGUUGAGUCUCCAGGUGCUUGUAAGACCCUCAAUACAAGGGCCUCUGGGGAUGGGAGGAGGUAGCCUGAGUCAUGAGAGAGGAACUGCUACUCCACCUAUUCCUCCCUUGGUCUAGCAGGGAAGACAGCUCAAUCCCAGAGAUCCAGCCUACAAGUGAUGAGUCAGCCAUUGUCCAGAGAGUCUCCACGGGACAAACAUCAUCACAUCUUCUUUCCUUGGCUAUCUUCUCAGCAACUUCAUCCUUCAGCUGGCCUGGCAGCUUCUCCUCCUGUUUUGUUUGCCGCCGCCUGGUCGCGAAGUGCUGUCGCUGGAAGGGGAAGUGUUGAUGGUGCCUCUCAGUCUAUUCUACCUAAUUUUAAACCUUUGUAAAGGGGUUUCCUUUUCUGUCUUUGUGGUUUCAUUGUGUUCUGUUAUAAAUUAGGAAUAGAAAAAGUCACAUGAGGAAAGCUGUUGUCUGAUAUUUGGUGCCAUGAUAAGAUGCGCUAUUGUGUGAAGAAGACCUUGUGCCAGAGCAGCCCUGUUCUACUGUUGGUCAGCCUCUCUGCAAGGGACAGGUUUUUCUUUCCUACAGCAGUUUCCCAAAGGAGCAGGGAAGGAGGCAGGAGUGGGAUGGGAUGACAUGUUUCUCUUCCCAGUUGAAUGUUUCCAGUCAAGAGACUCUUUGAGAAGUGUGCCAGUGCACAGAUAACACAGACAUGUUUCAGGAAGCGGUUCCCAGAACUGGCUUGACACUGCUGUGACCUGGGCCAACUGCUGUCCUUGCAAAAGAAAGAAAAGUGAAGCCAGGGGUCAAACAACAGGAACAGGCAUUGAGGAAACUAUCCCUCACUAAAAUUAAUGAACUUGCAGGAUAACAUGCCGUUCAGGUGUGAAAUUAAGCAGCCAUAGCAGAGACAUACCUGGCUAAGAAGUCAAUCAGUCAUCUGUGGGGUGGCUCUGAAGCAAGCACCAGUGAAGUGUGAAGGCAUGCUCUUCUCCAAACAGAAAGUUUCCAGCACUUUUUGUACAAUUGGCAUUGUUGCUUUCCCUCCUGCCCUGGGUGAUGCCCAGGUCAUCUCUUGGGCUGCACCCCAAAAUGGAAGACAGAGCUGACAGCAGCAAGGUGUCGCCCAAGCAUAAACCUGAAUGUUGAGCUUCUAGAUGCUAAAUAACACUGGAGGCAACCCCAUGGGGAAGAGGCACCCUACAAAAACAUAUUAAGUGAUCCAAACUGCUUUGGGCAUGCAAAAAUGGGUCUGUCAAAACCAAUUUCUAGUAGAGCUGUACAAAACACAUGUCAGCAGGGGGUGGUGGCUGCCAAAUCUCACAACUGCCCCUGCCUUGCAUUCAGCAUGAGAAGGACAGGUUUUAUUAGCUUGGUU